UCGCUGGUUCUCGGUGGAGAGGAGGAGGGGAAGAGAGAGAGGGAGGGAGAGAGACUCACUCCAAUUUUCCUCUUCCUCCGUCCUUCUAGUUGCCGGCGAAGGUUCUGUGAGAGUCGCCGUUUCAUCUGCAACUGUAGUAGAUCCGUGAGCUUGCAACCUUCAUCUCUAUGCCGUCGAUUUCUUCCUCUUUCGUCCGUAUUAUACUACGGUGCUUUGAAUCCUUUCUCUAUUCCUUCUGCACGGUGCCAGUGUGUACAUAGGAGUUGUUUCUGUUGUUGUUAGAGGUUUGAUUCGCUGGUCCUUCUCCUCCCUUGUUUCGGCUCACAGCUACUUUUCUUGAUCUUCAUGUUCUGUCACUGCAAUUCUGGUUCCCCUUCCUUCAGUACUCUUUGCUUUAUUGAUAGCAUAAUUGAUGUUGUAUGUCUUGCUUACCAAGGAUGGGUGUUUGCGGAACAGAAUAGAAGCUUGUUCUAUAAAUAUGUCUUAUGGAUGUAAAGGAAUCAGGAGGUCAUCCUUUGUUGCAAAAGUAAUUUCUUCAAAAUCAAGUGAAGUGCCAAAAAGAUAUCUUGCAAUAUCUAUUGGAGAGGAAACGAAGAGUUUUUUGGUCCCUAUAUAUUACAUGCAUGAAUCAACCUUCAUUUCAAGAAUUGUUAAAUGAAGCUGAAGAAGAAUUUGGGUAUGAUCAUCCAAUUGGAGCUCUCACUAUUCCUUGCACAGAAGAUGUCUUCCUAAAAGUCACUUCUUCCUUCAACGGGUGCUAGCUUGGAAAGAGAGCAUUAACUUGGAUUAGUCUAACACAAUUUUGUUUAGAAGGUAAUUCAGAUGAUGAUUUUUCUAUGUAAAGAUUCCCCCCAACCUCCUUCUUCCCCUACUUGAGAAGUGUAAAAAUGUUAUGUGUUAGUCAAAAAUUUACAAGAAGACAAUUUUCAUGUGAUUUCCAUCAAUUAUGACUA